GCGGAUCCUCGGCAAGAAGGUGCGGGCGCGCGGCUUCCUGGGCCGGGCGCUGGCUCACCGCCGGGUGACCGGGUACGAGGCCUGGAUCCGCGCC
rnacentral:tRNA from 1 species